GAGCAUAUUGGAAGCUGUAAUCCACGGGCGGUAGCGUG
rfam:Aeromonas molluscorum 848 Cont195, whole genome shotgun sequence.